GUAUUUCUGCGGGCGCUGAGCGUUGGAGAGUGUUUUGCAGGUGCGGCCUGCGUCCGGCCCUUCGGCACCCCCCAGCCGCGCGGUUACCCCUGGACCCGGCACCAUCCGUCCUGGCGCCCCGGAUGAGUCACUGAAGGGGCUGCGCCCGAGGCGUGACCUUUCCAGGAACCCCCAUCGGCCUCCUAAGGCCUGUGCUGUGUAUACCUCCUCCCUGACAAAAGGGGAAACUGAGGCCCCGAGGGAAGUGGGGAGAGCCGGCCGGACGUCAGGCCCAGCCCCUGGUGCAGUGUCCCAUCCCCUCCGCCGGGGUGGGCCCCUCGGGAUUCGUGUGUCCUCGGGAAAGAGACUGGCGGGCCUCGUGGGCUGUGCGGCUCUCCCGGAGACAGAUGACAGCUCUCCCUUGGAUGGCUUUGCUGGUUUCCCACCAGCUGCACCAGCCAGCGCCCCCAUCUUCCCUGCAGCACCCUGAUCUGCACUCCCUGAGGGGCUCCCACUGUCCGCGGGGUGAGGAUGUCCCUGUAUAAUCCACUGUGUGCAGAGGCAUCAUGGGAGUUGCCAUGUCGCAAACAUGCUAGACCUCAGUGUCCUUGAGCUUAAGGAAAGAUGACAGAACACUGGAGACAAAGGACUUGUAGCCUCCUGCUCUGUGGCCUCUCUUCACUCCAGGGAUGUCACCUUGGGCUGGAGACUGUUGGAGGAAACCCCAUGAGGUGCAGGCAGUGAGCCUCUCAGGACAGUGACCUGCGGACCCAGCUCCCCUGGAGGGACCUCCUCAUGAUUGUUUGGGGUUGAUCGCAGAUACUGGCAUAGCCAAGAGUGAUGAGUGAUGUCACCCCAUGACGCAUGGCCAGACCUUCUGGCCCCUGUUGCCUCCAGCACAACAUGGAUCGACUUUUCCCUCAGUGUGAGUGGGCAGAGGAAAAGCCCUGUGGCUCUGGAGACUUGGGGUCCAGAGUUGAAGACUCUUCAGCUGGCUCUGCUCUGCCAGUGCCAUAGAGACCCAUGACCCAGAAAGACUGGUUUUCUUCCAUCUAGGCCAGGCCAUCCAAUGGCCAUCCUCUGUGUCCUCCCACCUCCACCUGGUGUGACUUCUGAAAACCAAGAAUUUGGUCCUGUUGACUUGUUCUGUGCUUUGGACCAUUGUCCUCUCACCCACUUAAUAAAUCUUGAAACAUGC